rnacentral:rRNA from 1 species
GAUGCAGUCGAGCGGUAAGGCCCUUCGGGGUACACGAGCGGCGAACGGGUGAGUAACACGUGAGCAACCUGCCCCUGACUCCGGGAUAAGCGGUGGAAACGCCGUCUAAUACCGGAUACGACCCGCCACCUCAUGGUGGAGGGUGGAAAGUUUUUCGGUCAGGGAUGGGCUCGCGGCCUAUCAGCUUGUUGGUGGGGUAACGGCCUACCAAGGCGAUUACGGGUAGCCGGCCUGAGAGGGCGACCGGCCACACUGGGACUGAGACACGGCCCAGACUCCUGCGGGAGGCAGCAGUGGGGAAUAUUGCGCAAUGGGCGAAAGCCUGACGCAGCGACGCCGCGUGGGGGAUGACGGCCUUCGGGUUGUAAACCUCUUUUACCACCAACGCAGGCUCCCAGUUCUCUGGGGGUUGACGGUAGGUGGGGAAUAAGGACCGGCUAACUACGUGCCAGCAGCCGCGGUAAUACGUAGGGUCCGAGCGUUGUCCGGAAUUAUUGGGCGUAAAGAGCUCGUAGGCGGCGUGUCGCGUCUGCUGUGAAAGACCGGGGCUUAACUCCGGUUCUGCAGUGGAUACGGGCAUGCUAGAGGUAGGUAGGGGAGACUGGAAUUCCUGGUGUAGCGGUGAAAUGCGCAGAUAUCAGGAGGAACACCGGUGGCGAAGGCGGGUCUCUGGGCCUUACCUGACGCUGAGGAGCGAAAGCAUGGGGAGCGAACAGGAUUAGAUACCCUGGUAGUCCAUGCCGUAAACGUUGGGCGCUAGGUGUGGGGACUUUCCACGGUUUCCGCGCCGUACUAACGCAUUAAGCGCCCCGCCUGGGGAGUACGGCCGCAAGGCUAAAACUCAAAGGAAUUGACGGGGGCCCGCACAAGCGGCGGACAUGUUGCUUAAUUCGACGCAACGCGAAGAACCUUACCAAGGUUUGACAUCACCCGUGG